rnacentral:ncRNA from 1 species
UCGGGAAUGCAGCCUCCCGUCCCUCUCGGGUAGACGGUGUCUCGUCCAAGCGCUG